GUUGUGUCGUAUUUCAAAAAAUAGUCACAAACCCUAACCUCAUAUUUUAACUACGGACGGACUCGUUAAUGGAUUUAAGACUCACUUCCUGUUCAAUUUUUAUUUACGCCUUAAUUUGGUAAAAGGGCUAAAUGCGUUAGUGACUCGGUGGAGUACAAUGCGUUUAUUUUAAAUAGCAGAACCUGGCAGCUGCUGCAAUAUUUGUAUAAUACAAAUAUAAUGAUCCCGUACUAGUAAUAAAAACCUGGUUUUAAGUACAUUUGUAACUGAAAUGCAAGUUUACUAGGUUUAAAACAUUCUUUAUUAAAAGAAUAAUAAAAGUUAGAAUUAUCGCAAACUUACUUGUCAAAGCAGUGAUUCGGUGGGAUUUAAUGAAUUGUGAAACGUAGCGCUUGCUGUUUGUUAUUUAUUGGUCUAGGGUAUUUUUCAAAGAUUAAGUAAAAGGAAUUAAUUUUUUGUCCAGCAUUCAAUUCUAUAUACCUUUCCUAACGCAAAAUGUUGCUUCAUUAUACGCAAACAAUCAAUUGCGAGAUAGGCUCAUUUCCAUAAUUUAGCAGCAUGUAAGCAUCACGAAAAGUAAGAGCAGUUAAAUAACGGUUUUUAUUUGAUCAAAAAGAUGAUAAUUAUGAUUACUGUGAUAAGAAAUGGGCAUAACGCUCAAUGUCUACGUUUCCUCCACUUAUAAUGAUACCAAUUCGUUUAUUCUUUAGCUUUUCCUUCAUAGCGCGCGCUGCCGCAAAGCUAAGACAUCCAGUGGGUUCGACUACAAUUUUCAUACGUGCGGCAUAAAACUUAAGACAGUCAAUUAGUUCCUCGUCGGACACAGUCAAUAUAUCAUCGACCUUUUCUUUUAUAAUGGAAAACGUGUAGUUACCCAAAUGUUGAGUUUGAGCACCAUCGGCUAUAGUUUUUGGUGUAUCAAUAUGUACGAUAGAUCCUUUCCUAAAGGACUGUUGCCCAUCGUUUCCAGCUUCAGGUUCAACUCCAUAAACUUCGCAGUUUGGAGCAAAAUGGCGAGCAGCAAGUGCUGAUCCAGAAAGCAAGCCACCGCCUCCGAGACAAACAAAAAGUGCAUCAAGAGGGCCAACCUCUUCAAACAGUUCCUUAGCUGCGGUUCCUUGACCAGCAAGUACAUGGGGGUGAUCGUAAGGAGGGAUAAUGGUAAGACCUUCUCUUUCAGAAAUUUCUUUGGCCAUCUUUUCUCUAUCAUCUUUGUAUCUAUCAUACAUGAUUACUUGACCACCAUAGCCUUUCGUGGCAGCGACCUUGGCUUCGGGUGCAUCGAGUGGCAUAAUGAUUUUUGCUGGAAUUCCCAAGAUCUUUGCCGACAGUGCAAUGGCCUGAGCAUGAUUACCAGAAGAAAACGUCAAAACACCAGCUUUACGUUGAGCUUCAUUGAGUUGAGAAAGAGCAUUAAGGGCACCGCGAAAUUUGAAAGCACCCAUUUUUUGGAAAUUUUCACAUUUAAAAAACACUUCUGCCACAAACUCUUUAUUUACUGUGCUCGACGUGAGUACUGGGGUUUUGUUGGCGAAUUUCUUAAUUCGCUCACUAGCUGAAGCAACAUCAUCAUAGGUAGGAAGCACCAGGUUAUCGCUCAUUGUCGUAGUUUUUUAAAAAUUUAAAAAGAGUGAAAAUAUCCUUUUAUUCUGUAAACUAUUCAGUCUUAAAAUGCAAACUGAAGAAUUUAACGACAAUGAGAGAUGUCAAAUCAAGCAGAGCUCUCGAUCAUUUAUAGAGAGAACCGUCAACUGUAACGCUAUCUUAUCUUUACUAUGAAAAGAAGGUCAAAAAAUGCGAGCCCAACUCGGAAACGAAUUUAUAGGCGACAAUUGUAAAGACACUUACACAAUUAGAACCAAAUGGAAAUGAAACAGCAGGACGGAGCUCCAACUUGCUAGUUCAUAAAACAGUGACAUGUAGCAUAGCGAGUAUAAUGCU